rnacentral:rRNA from 1 species
AUUGAACGCUGGCGGCAUGCCUUACACAUGCAAGUCGAACGGUAACGGGCCUUCGGGUGCCGACGAGUGGCGAACGGGUGAGUAAUAUAUCGGAACGUACCUUUCAGUGGGGGAUAACGUAGCGAAAGUUACGCUAAUACCGCAUAUUCUGUGCGCAGGAAAGCAGGGGACCUUCGGGCCUUGCGCUGAUUGAGCGGCCGAUAUCAGAUUAGCUAGUUGGUGAGGUAAAGGCUCACCAAGGCGACGAUCUGUAGCGGGUCUGAGAGGAUGAUCCGCAACACUGGACCUGAGACACGGUCCAGACUCCUACGGGAGGCAGCAGUGGGGAAUUUUGGACAAUGGGGGCAACCCUGAUCCAGCCAUGCCGCGUGAGUGAAGAAGGCCUUCGGGUUGUAAAGCUCUUUCGGCCGGGAAGAAAUCGUAUGGGCUAAUACCCUGUGCGGAUGACGGUACCGGCAUAAGAAGCACCGGCUAACUACGUGCCAGCCGCCGCCGUAAAAC